rnacentral:rRNA from 1 species
UACGUAGGUGACAAGCGUUGUCCGGAUUUACUGGGCGUAAAGAGCGCGCAGGCGGUCGUUCAAGUCGAGUGUGAAAGCCCCCGGCUCAACUGGGGAGGGUCACUCGAUACUGAUCGACUCGAAGGCAGGAGAGGGAAGUGGAAUUCCCGGUGUAGUGGUGAAAUGCGCAGAUAUCAGGAGGAACACCGGUGGCGAAGGCGGGUCUCUGGGUAGUAACUGACGCUGAGGAACGAAAGCGUGGGUAGCGAACAGG